ACAUGAACUAAGCCCACCAAUAUAAUCCCAUACAUUAUAUCUAAUGAGCCGUAUGCUUAUCCAAAACAAGGAUGUCUCUUGCCUGUGGUACUAAGUCAUAAUUCUCAUGACUUGUGUUUCAAAAUACCUGGAAUAGUAGUCUGGGGAUCCUGUCACCCAUGGCUAG
rnacentral:ribozyme from 2 species